rnacentral:rRNA from 1 species
GACUUGUGCGCACCGGAUGCGGCGAUCUGCGGCCAAAAGGUCGUUGCGAUCCGCCCGUCCUGGUGCCGUAAAAUCUGCAACUGGGUCGCCGCUGGUCUUAACUGGUCGGCGGCGCCUGCUCGGUUGCUCGUUUACUGUGAGAAAAUUGGAGUGUUCAAGGCAGGCAUGAUUGCAACUGAACAUGUUAGCAUGGAAUAAUAAUUUAGGACUUCGGUUCUAUUUUGUUGGUUUCUAGGACUGAAGUAAUGAUUGAUAGGGAUAGUUGGGGGUGCUAGUAUUCAGCGGCCAGAGGUGAAAUUCUCGGAUUCGCUGAAGACUAACUUAUGCGAAAGCAUU